rnacentral:lncRNA from 1 species
UAAUCCAUCGUUAUAUCCGAAUAGCGGCGUUAUGUUCGUGCGUUCCAGACACUAUCCGAAAUAGUAAAGAAGUGUCGCGCGCAUGGCGCAAUUCGUGACAAUAAAAUUCUAAAUAUUCCAUUACCGUACUUCGAAGCAUGUCAACCGCUGUUUAAAAUCAAUUUUUACGACACUUUUCUCGUAGAAAAGCGAUAAUAUUCCGACAGGGAAUCUCCUUUUCGGCAAACAGAGGAAAAAAUCCCAAAGGCGGGGGCGGUCGGGGUCAAGGCCAGUGUCCCUUGAUCGGCCACUUGAGAAAGGCGAUAAUGUGUUUCAGCCUGGGGCUGGAAUGACGACAUUCUGUUUUUUCCCGGGCUCUGAGCGCCUAUGGACGACGUGGGAAGUGUCACGUUAGAGCAGAGAUCCUUAGUAAAUGAUAGAGAUGGAAAAGAAGUUCAAGAAAUGGUCAGACAGGCCACUUCCUGUAAAGGAAUCUCUCAGCCGUGUCAAUACUGCCCCCUAGCCCUAAAAGGAUAAAGUCCUAGGGUUGUCAUCUGAUGAAGAUCAUCAAAGAGGACCUGAGCCCUAGGACCAUGCCUCAGGACUACCUGGCAUGAUGACUCCUUGCUGUCCCCAGUCCACCUGGUCGUGCUGCUGCUUUCAACUGUUCUGUCUGCGGCUAUGGACGUGCUACCUUGUCCCAGACCUGCUUUUUUCAACUCUCUAGAGACAGCAAGAGCGCAAGACUAUUCAAGCGAUCAACUCACUAAUGGAUGAAGAUGCGCUCGGCAAAGGCCAUGAAAAUUGCUACAGAAAAAACCAUUACAGAACCACCCACCAAAAGAAGACCAUGCAGCAUGGAUUGGAGCAUCGGGGAAAAGGACGGACAUGGGAGUCGGAACGUCGAUUCUGGGAGGACAAGCUAAGGGAGCUACGGGAACCUGAGAGGCAGCCUCUGAAUUAUUUUUGGGGGGGCACACGGGGAGUUGGGGUAAGUCAGGCAAUAGACCUGAGCCAACUCCUCGUGCUUAUUAUGGGGAGCGUUUGGCGUGGAAAGCACCGUGCUAUGCGGAAGUGCGCACGGUCUCGCCCAUCCGCAUGCACAGUCCGGUGCGGUCGAUACCAGCCCCCCGCAAGUGCAGUGCUAGAGUGGGCAUCGAGCCAGGAAGGAGUAUGCCUGUUCAGCACAUCUGGCCACCAGUGUGUCUCCUACGCCCAGGCUACCC